rnacentral:rRNA from 2 species
GGGGCCGGGCGGGUUUCUUAUAAUGCAUGUCGAGCGAAUCAAUGGGAGCUUGCUCCCGUUGGUUAGCGGCGGACGGGUGAGUAACACGUGGGCAACCUGCCUGUAAGACUGGGAUAACUUCGGGAAACCGGAGCUAAUACCGGAUAAUUCUUUUCCUCUCAUGAGGAAAAGCUGAAAGUCGGUUUCGGCUGACACUUACAGAUGGGCCCGCGGCGCAUUAGCUAGUUGGUGAGGUAACGGCUCACCAAGGCGACGAUGCGUAGCCGACCUGAGAGGGUGAUCGGCCACACUGGGACUGAGACACGGCCCAGACUCCUACGGGAGGCAGCAGUAGGGAAUCUUCCACAAUGGACGAAAGUCUGAUGGAGCAACGCCGCGUGAGCGAUGAAGGCCUUCGGGUCGUAAAGCUCUGUUGUUAGGGAAGAACAAGUAUCGGAGUAACUGCCGGUACCUUGACGGUACCUAACCAGAAAGCCACGGCUAACUACGUGCCAGCAGCCGCGGUAAUACGUAGGUGGCAAGCGUUGUCCGGAAUUAUUGGGCGUAAAGCGCGCGCAGGCGGUCCUUUAAGUCUGAUGUGAAAGCCCACGGCUCAACCGUGGAGGGUCAUUGGAAACUGGGGGACUUGAGUGCAGAAGAGGAAAGCGGAAUUCCACGUGUAGCGGUGAAAUGCGUAGAGAUGUGGAGGAACACCAGUGGCGAAGGCGGCUUUCUGGUCUGUAACUGACGCUGAGGCGCGAAAGCGUGGGGAGCAAACAGGAUUAGAUACCCUGGUAGUCCACGCCGUAAACGAUGAGUGCUAAGUGUUAGAGGGGUUUCCGCCCCUUAGUGCUGCAGCUAACGCAUUAAGCACUCCGCCUGGGGGAGUACGGCCGCAAGGCUGAACUCAAAGGAAUUGACGGGGGCCCGCACAAGCGGUGGAGCAUGUGGUUUAUUUCGAAGGCAACGCGAAGACCCUUACCAGGUCUUGACAUCCUCUGACCACUCCUAGAAGAUAGGA